rnacentral:tRNA from 1 species
GGCGCUGUAGAACAGCUGGCGGUUCAGCCAUUCGAAGUCGAACGCAAGGUCGAGCGCCUGGCGUACGCGCACGUCGCGAAACAGCGGCCGGCGCAGGUUCAUGAAGAAGCCCUGCAUGCCGGCGCCG